UAUUGUUCUCAGAACGUAACUGAUAAUGGACUAGUGAUAAGAGUAUCAGGUUUAGAUACAGUGCAAUAUACAGAGAGCAUGAUCACUUUUCACAGUGAGUCACUACUUUGAAGACAUGCAACAACCUUAUCCCAUUUCAUUUUGACUGUUAUCUGCAUCAGGCACUCUAUCCAACGCAGCAGUUACUACUAUCCAACCACUAUCAAAUACAGCCAGUGCAUCCCAACCAGCCAACACAGCCACUUCAUCCAGUGCAACCACACCAUCCUGUUUGACCCGUCGAUGUCUGGCCAGCAUGCUGAUUGCGAAAGAAGCUCGGAGUCCGCCACAGUCUCCACGGUGCAUCUCAAUUAUCCGUGUGCCGUCAAUCGUGUACGAAACUCUGUCUGUCG